rnacentral:sRNA from 12 species
UGAGCGUACGGACUUCCUCUGAAAGGAAGUGCUGUGUACCGAGGUCAAGUGAAUUGACGUUUAAGCGCGAUGUAAGCGCGCCGCCCCUCGGGGAGAAACCGCCGGUUGGCGGUUUCUUUUUUACCCAAU